rnacentral:rRNA from 1 species
GGCGGGACACGUGGUAUCCUGUCUGAAUAUGGGGGGACCAUCCUCCAAGGCUAAAUACUCCUGACUGACCGAUAGUGAACCAGUACCGUGAGGGAAAGGCGAAAAGAACCCCGGCGAGGGGAGUGAAAAAGAACCUGAAACCGUGUACGUACAAGCAGUGGGAGCACCCUUCGGGGUGUGACUGCGUACCUUUUGUAUAAUGGGUCAGCGACUUAUAUUCUGUAGCAAGGUUAACCGAAUAGGGGAGCCGGAGGGAAACCGAGUCUUAAUUGGGCGUUAAGUUGCAGGGUAUAGACCCGAAACCCGGUGAUCUAGCCAUGGGCAGGUUGAAGGUUGGGUAACACUAACUGGAGGACCGAACCGACUAAUGUUGAAAAAUUAGCGGAUGACCUGUGGCUGGGGGUGAAAGGCCAAUCAAACCGGGAGAUAGCUGGUUCUCCCCGAAAGCUAUUUAGGUAGCGCCUCGUGAAUUCAUCUCCGGGGGUAGAGCACUGUUUCGGCUAGGGGGCCAUCCCGGCUUACCAACCCGAUGCAAACUGCGAAUACCGGAGAAUGCU